rnacentral:rRNA from 1 species
UCGAGAAUCAUUCACAAUGGGGGAAACCCUGAUGGUGCGACGCCGCGUGGAGGAUAAGGUCUUCGGAUUGUAAACUCCUGUCAUGCGAGAGCAAGAUUUGUGCAGGUAACUCUGCUGAAUUUGAUAGUAUCGCAAGAGGAAGAGACGGCUAACUCUGUGCCAGCAGCCGCGGUAAUACAGAGGUCUCAAGCGUUGUUCGGAAUCACUGGGCGUAAAGGGUGCGUAGGUGGCGUGGAAAGUCAGAUGUGAAAUCCGGGGGCUCAACCUCCGAAUAGCAUCCGAUACUCCCAUGCUAGAGAACUGGAGGGGGAUCUGGAAUUCUCGGUGUAGCAGUGAAAUGCGUAGAUAUCGAGAGGAACACUAGUGGCGAAGGCGAGAUCCUGGACAGUAUCUGACACUGAUGCACGAAGGUCAGGGGAGCAAACG